ensembl:lncRNA
UUUCUAACUGGAAUCCGUAUGUAUCUCCACUGUAGACAACAGGCUGUGUCUUCAAGUUUGUCUUUUCCUUUGCCCGGAUAUAACUAUGCUGUUGGCUUCAAUCAUAUGGUUUGUUAUUGAAGGUUCUCUGUAUGAGACCGUCUCUUGCUGUAUGCUCUAUGUUCUGGGGCCUCUGAGGUUGUUUUGGGUGAAACCAUUAGCCACAGAUUUGCCAGAUAAAAUCUUGAAGUAUAUCAUGAUUUCACAUACUGAUCAUGCAGCAUUCAUGGCAGUGAUGUAUUCAGUACUUUUAGCUGAACAUUUUCCAAAUAUCAGCACAGUCUUCAGCUCAUCCAGCUUUGGUUUGCUUGUCCUGAUGUGUCUCCUCUUCAUUAUACAAUUGGCUAAAGAGAAGAAGAUGCUGUCAUACUCUGGAGAGUCGAGCAGAAAGAUGUACAGUAGAGUUCCAGAGUUUGUGGCUACUUGUGGCCUUUCAGGGCUGCCUUCAUUACAGCUCGCCCUCCUGCUCUACACUCAUUUUGCCUCCAGUGCAGUGUUCUUCAUUAUGACUCUUCCAGUACUUCAUUUGAUGUCUUAUAGAUUUUGUAAUGGAACAAAAAGUGCAGAUCAACAAUGUCAACGUUUUCUAUGUAAAUUAAUAUGGUUGGUGAUGAUUGUGAUGACUGGAGUAAUGGUGUAUUUUUAUACUAUGCUCUUGAGAAAUAAAGACGCUGAUGCAGGACCUGUCUGUGUGGCAGGAUUUGUUCAAGCCUUGUGGGUGCUUGCAUUUUCUAAAGUCCCAGUCUAUUAUCAGAAGCUUCACAUGAGGAAAAUAUUGUUCCUGUAUGGAUCAGCUGGUCUUGUUUUAGUGAACUCUGCUGCACUGAUGACAGAACUGAUAAUGAAAGCAGUUCAUGGUGUGCGUCUGGUGGGAGAUUUGCGAAUCGUUGUCUUUCCAUCUGAGUGGCUCUUUACUGUAGCACUGCUGGUCUUAUCCGUUGUUGCAUCCUCUGCCUGCACAGAGUCUCAGAAGGCUUCUCAUUUGCAGAUGCCGUCAGAUUAUAAUGGGACUCCUGGUACAAAUCAUACAAGUAUAGAUAUGACACAGAGGACAGAAGAAUCCCAUGAAAUGGAAACUCUGAGAAAUGCUGGGAACAGUGAGGAGCAUCAAGAAGAGGAGAUCAACUAACAGUGAACUGUACUGUUUAAAAGAUCUGACUGAACUUUUCUCACUGGGCAGAGGUUUUCAUGGUAUGAAACAUUUCAGAUGGUAAGACUGGCAAACAUGCCAUUUCUUUGUCUGUGUAACUAUUAGCAGCAGAGACUCUGGAUGUAUUUUUAUAUCUGUGAUGCUGUGCCAUUGAUAUUGUGG